UACGGGGGGGGCAAGCGUUGUUCGGAAUUACUGGGCGUAAAGGGCUCGUAGGCGGCCAACUAAGUCAGACGUGAAAUCCCCAGGCUCAACCUGGGAACUGCGUCUGAUACUGGAUGGCUUGAAUCCGGGAGAGGGAUGCAGAGUUCCAGGUGUAGCGGUGAAAUGCGUAGAUAUCUGGAGGAAUACCGGUGGCGAAGGCGGCAUCCUGGACCGGCAUUGACGCUGAGGAGCGAAAGCCAGGGGAGCAAACGGG
rnacentral:rRNA from 1 species